GGCUUUUUGAAUUUGAAUUAAAAGUCUAAUCUGCCCCCUGACUUUGUUAAAGGGCCGCAGUAUUUUAACUGUGCAAGGUAGCAUAAUCAUUAGUCUUUUAAUUGGAGGCUUGUAUGAAUGAUUGAAUGAAAUAUAAACUGUCUCAAUAAAAUUUUAAUUGAAUUUUAUUUUUUAGUUAAAAAGCUAAAAUGAUUUUAUAAGACGAGAAGACCCUAUAGAUCUUUAUAUUUUAAUUUAUUAGAUUUAUUUAGUUAUUUUUAGGUAUAAUAAAUUAAAUUAUUUUAUUGGGGUGAUAUUGAAAUUUGUAAAACUUUCAUAAAUUUGUUUACACUAAUUUGUGAUUUAUUGAUCCUUUAAUAUUGAUUAAAAAUUUAAGUUACCUUAGGGAUAACAGCGUAAUUAUUUUGGAGAGUUCUUAUCGAUAAAAUAGAUUGCGACCUCGAUGUUGGAUUAAGAUUAAUUUUAGGUGCAGUAAUUUAAAAUAUUAAGUCUGUUCGACUUUUAAUUUCUU
rnacentral:rRNA from 1 species